GAUCCUGGCUCAGGAUGAACGCUGGCGGCGUGCUUAACACAUGCAAGUCGAACGAGAGAAGAUCGGUGCUUGCACUGAUCCGAUCGAGUGGCGGACGGGUGAGUAACGCGUGGGUAACCUGCCUCAUACAGGGGAAUAACAGUUGGAAACGGCUGCUAAAACCGCAUAAGCGCACGGUAUCGCAUGAUACAGUGUGAAAAACUCCGGUGGUAUGAGAUGGACCCGCGU
rnacentral:rRNA from 1 species